GAGGCCAAGAAGGUUUUACGGGGUGGAGGAGCCUGAGGUGUUGGUUUAAGGAGCAGCGAGAGUGGGUUCACGCUUACAUCAUCAGCUACCUGAAGAAGGAGAUGCCCUCUGUGUUUGGGAAGGAGAACAAGAAGAAGCAGCUGAUCCUCAAACUGCCCGUCAUCUUUGCGAAGAUUCAGCUGGAACAUCACAUCUCCCCUGGGGACUUUCCUGAUUGCCAGAAAAUGCAGGAGCUGCUGAUGGCGCACGACUUCACCAAGUUUCACUCGCUGAAGCCGAAGCUGCUGGAGGCGCUGGACGAGAUGCUGACUCACGACAUCGCCAAGCUCAUGCCCCUGCUGCGGCAGGAGGAGCUGGAGAGCACCGAGGUGGGCGUGCAGGGGGGCGCUUUUGAGGGCACCCACAUGGGCCCGUUUGUGGAGCGGGGACCUGAUGAGGCCAUGGAGGACGGUGAGGAGGGCUCGGAUGACGAGGCCGAGUGGGUGGUGACCAAGGACAAGUCCAAAUACGACGAGAUCUUCUACAACCUGGCGCCUGCCGACGGCAAGCUGAGCGGCUCCAAGGCCAAGACCUGGAUGGUGGGGACCAAGCUCCCCAACUCGGUGCUGGGGCGCAUCUGGAAGCUCAGCGACGUGGACCGCGAUGGCAUGCUGGAUGAUGAGGAGUUCGCGCUGGCCAGCCACCUCAUCGAGGCCAAGCUGGAGGGCCACGGGCUGCCCACCAACCUGCCCCGUCGCCUGGUGCCACCCUCCAAGCGACGCCACAAGGGCUCUGCCGAGUGAGCCGGCCCCCCCCCCAUGGCCCUGCUGUAGCUCCCCAGCUCCAGUCAGCUGCACGCACACCCCUGCCCCGGCUCACACACGCCCUGCCUGCCCUCCCUGCCCAGCUGUAAGGACCGGGGGUCUCCCUCCCCACUACCGCCAGACACCCAGGUGGAAGCACUUAGAGGGGACCACGGGAGGGAGAAGGCUUCUCUGUCCGCCCUUCACACCUCCAGCCUCACGUUCACUUAGGCACAUCACACAGACACUGGCACUCGCAGGCAUCCAUCCAUCCGUCAUUCAUUCAAAUAUUUAUUGAGCACCUACUAUGUGCCCAGCCCUGUUCCAGGCACCGGGCAUUACCAUAGAGAACAAAAUAGACAAAUACAUCUGCCCUCAUGGAAGGUGACAUUCCCAGGAGAGGGCACCUACACAGUCACGCAAACACACACUA
rnacentral:sRNA from 1 species